CAGAGCUCCAUUGCCAUGGCAGAUAAAGAUCCAGAGAGGAAACAUCGGGGCUGUACCCGUGGACUCAAGGACUCAGCUCUGCCCUGCGGUGGGCACGCAGAUGGACAUAGCCUCGACGGGUGGACGUGGUUGUGGGCGCGUGACAUGAGGAGCCAGAGACACGCAGAAUGAGGUUUCUCCUGAGCAGGAAGCGUGCCCGUGAGCAACCAGCUGAGAAGUCGACCCAUCACAUGUGAAAAUGAGAAAGUCCCGUCGAGGCCAGACCCCGCUGUCCUUGGAAAGGUGUUGAGUUGAUUUCUUCCAAGGGGUGAGGGAGCAAUUCAGGUUCCCUGCCCAGCGGGUGCUCUGCCUCCCUAGUUCCGGAGGCUGGACUUUCAAGACCUGCUGAGAGCCAUCUUCCUGGUUCAUCAAUGGACGUUCUCUCCAUCAGGACAGAGACAAGACAGUUCCUUCUUACCCGUGAGAGAUACAUGUAUUGUCCAUGACUCCGCAGGAAAUUGAUUUCCCCAACCCGAUGCAGAGAUGGGGAAGGGGGGAGCCAAAAGAAGGGUUUGCUGUCCAUCUUUGGCGCCAGAGGAGAAGUCAGCCCCCAGAAGCUAAGCACUGAGAAGUCCAGUCUUCCACAUCCAGGGGUUUCCAGAUUCCCACUCGUGUAAGAAAUGCAGCGUGAUGUCCCAGUUUUCGUGCUUUUCUUGAGAUGUGGUCCCCUUGGAGGAGCUUCCCCCGCCAGGAUGGAAUUUCAGAGCUUUCGGCUCGAGAAGAAGGGAAAUGCCCCGAACAGCCACCCCCCAGGCCCCUUGUGGCCGCUGAGAAGUUGGGGAGGAUGCAGCCAUAAAGGAGGAUGUGAAAAGUAGGCGCGAUCGCAAGGCACGAAUCUCGGAAUCUUCGUGUUUCAUCGGGAAGGCAGAGGAGGAAGGAAUCUGCGAGGUGCAGCCGCCUCUUCUGACCUCAGGAUGGACGGAGAGGGCGUGAAGGACCCGUCAGUGACCAGCUGUUGCACAGAGAGCCCAGGGGAAGGGGGUGCCCUGGCGGGCACAUGGGAACCGAUGCUGCGGCUCACGAGAAGUUGGAGGAACAAACUGCUUUGUCCCAGGAGAAGAGGAGCAGGAUGGAACAGAUGCCCGCUGUAAUCGUGGGCGGAACCGGAGGGACGGACGCAACGCUUGGCGCUUCCAAUUCUGACAGUGGCUGACCUCACGGGAGAUGGAUGGGGGAGGGUCCAGAUGUUUCGAUGAGGAAACGGAGGCCACUAAGUGUUGUGUAACGUCCCAAGGGGACCCAGCUCUGAAGCGGUGGAGUCAGAAUGGGUUGCUUAACAGCCACCCCCACCCUCGGCUCGGAAGACGUCCACACCCAGGGCCACACCCACAGCGUAUGGAAAUUGCCAGGCUGAGCUGAUUCGGAGCUGAAGCUGCUGCCCUGCGCCACCGCCACAGCAACGCGGCAUCCGAAACGGGUCUGUAAUCUACACCACAGCGCACGGCAACAUCAGAUCCUUAACCCACUGGGGGAAGCCAGGGAUCGAACCCACAUCCUCAGGGAUACUAGUUGGCUUCAUUCCCGCUGAGCCACGAUGGGAACGCCCCUUUAUCCCAGUUUGAAUUUAGGAAUCUGACCAGGGGCUCUUUUUGAGGUGAUUAUGGAGAGAUUAUGGGGAAAAUAGAAUAUUCCUGUUUUACCAAAUGUCAUCGAACCUUUACAGAAAGCUCCAUUAUAUGGCCAUGUAUACAUUGUAUGCAAUUAAAUACAAGGAGAUACAAUGGUAUAUAAAUACACACGUAUGCAUUCUUUAUACAUACACAUGGCUGUUUAUAACCGCUCUGGGAAUCCCUUUGUUUCCAUCCCUAUGUUGGUGGGAACAGGGUGGGGGGUGCUUUGGUGCUGCAGCUUUGUCGUGGCAGGUUGAAGAGUCAGACACACCAUCCAUCAUCGGGGGCUCCCUGGGGACUCCCCAGGGACUCCUGUGAUGGCUUCGCCGGUGGGCAACAAGAGAGAGCCAGGUCUAGCUUUGCAGGUGGAUGAGAGCCUCAAGCUCCCACUGGACUCGUGGGGUCCACGUCUCAGUCCCGUGGGUGGAACAUGUCUACAGGUACCUGUCAGGUUUGGGCAGUGGCCUGGGAGAAUGUUUACCAGGCUGGUCCUGGGCUGGUACCCACGGUGUGUGGUUGGGUGAGUCCAGGCUGGUCCUGCGAUGGCUGAGGACAUGCAGGCUGGUCCUGGGCUGGUACCCACGGUGUGUGGUUGGAUGAACGGAGCGUGGGGAGAAGAGGAGGAUGCUGGUGGGGUCUCCGUGGGUCCUCCGGUGCUCUGCAUCCUGCCCUGGGUCGCCCUGGGCAUCCCAAAGCUUUGUCUGGCAAGGACAGGUCCCUGUCUCCCACCAACAGCCCUUCUGGUCCCUCAGAGCCUCAGCUGCUGUGCCCCCGGCGGUGGGGGGGCGGGGAGGCGGAGGGACAGUUGCCACAAUUACACUUUUCCUAACAUUGCUUUACGACGCAUCCUCUGAACCCCCUUGACUUCCGAAGACCUCGUUAACAGAACCUCGGGCUCGAUGGACAGAUAAAGCGUUAAACCAGGCUGUGAUUCCCGCAUUCCUGCCUUUUUCCGCUUCUGAGAUGGGAACUCCGCCAAAGGAGAAACUAUUUCUCUGAGAACUGGAUUGGUUGAAAAGCAUGUGCAUGGAUGUCGUGCCAGUGGAAUCCCAGCACGGACUUUUCAUCCUUCCUCUCUCUUUUUUUCACCUUUUGGUUUGGCGUGACUUUUUCUUUUUUUUUUUCAGUCUUCUUAGUGCUGAAGGCACCUCCGAAAAGCACACACAGAAAAGAACUUAACAGGUUUUCUCUUCGUAAAGUAUUUCACGGUCUAACGUGUCAGUGUCUUCCAUUUGCAUGUGUGUGUUUCCACCAAGAAAAAUACAUCCUUCUGCCGGCACAUGAAGUUAAACUUUACAGUCAAAUAAUGGAGCACACCUCGCCCGAACGCCAGAGGCAUGAAGCAAACGGAUUCUUCUCUCCCUGGCAACCUUGGAAAUGUGCUCAGUUAUUUUUAUGGAUUCUUUGAGCCAACAUAAAAUGCAAGGGGUAUUCCAGCUGGGUAAUUAAAAUCCUAAUGUUCGUGAAGUUUGUGAAAUUCAUGCCUCAUCCCCCUCAGUUGUCUGUGAUCCAAGGAUCCCCCAGGCAUCUUUCUCUCCUCUCAACUGUUCUUUUUCCUUUUUUAAUUAUUUUUUUAGGGUCCCACCCUCAGCGUAUGGAGGCUCCCAGGUGAGGGGUCGAAUCGGAGCUGCAGCUGCAGGUCUACACCACAGCCACAGCCACACCGGAUCCAAGCCUCAUCUGCAAACCACACCACCGCUCACGGCAACACCGGACCCUUAACCCACGGAGCGAGGCCAGGGAUCCGACCUGCAUCGUCAUGGAUACUAGUGGGAUUCUUAACCCGCUGAGCGCUCCCCUCACCCCCGGGAAUUCCUUGUAGCCCUAAUAUAAACCCCCAUCAUGGAGCAGAAGCAAUAUCGGGAGGGCUUUCCUGGAAGAAGCCCAGACUUUGACCCCCGGGUGUGAUGUUUUAUUUCUCUGAAACUCCAAGACUUUUCAGUGGGUUGAGGGGACCCAAGGAUCCGCUCCAGGAUUACAGAAACGGUGAUGGAUGGAUUAACUGUUCCACGGUCGCCGUGGCUGUGGUGGAGGCCGGCAGCUCUCAUUCAACCCCUAGCCUGGGAACAUCCAUGUGCCACGGGUAUGGCCCUAAAAGGCACACACGCACACACACACAAAGACUGCCAUUGCAUAUGUACAUGGAGCGGAUGGCCGACAGGGACCUGCUGUCGAGCACAGAGAACUUGACCCAAUAUUCCGCGAUCAUCUCUGGGGAAAGAAUCUGAGAGAGAAUGCACGUGUGUACGUGUGUCUCUCCAUCCCUUUGUCGUCCAGCAGAAACCAUCACAGCCUCGCACGUUAACUCUACUUCAGUACAACGUCAAAAAACAGACGUAAGAAUACAAUAAAACACGGCCGUUGCAGCAGGUGGGAAACAGAAGAGCAGGCACCUGUGACCUUGGGGUAUACCCAGAAGGCCAUGGUGGAUCAAAGUUAUUUUCCUUUUCCAAGAAUCCAAAAAAGAAUAUGCACGUGUGUGAGUGUGUGUGCGCACGCAUGUGCUUUUAUGUGUAAAUGAACCACCUUGCUGUACACUUGACGCUAGCAGAGCACUGGAAAUCCAUUAUACUCAACUGGAGUAACCAGAAGGCGAUGGUGGAUCCAAUUAUUUUUCUUCUCCAAGAAUCUGAAAAGGCAUCCAUGUGCGGGGUACGUCGGUGUGUGUACAGGAAUCACUUUGCUGGACCCUCGAAAUGAACACGACACAGGACGUGAAUUAUACGCCAUUUGAAUACCCAGAACGCCACAGUGGGUCAAAGUUAUUUUCCUUUUCAAAGGAUCUGCAAAGAAGAAUGUGUGUGUCUGGGUGAAACUCCAAGCCCUCUCCAUGGGUUGAGCGGACCCGAGGGUGGCAGGAGGAUUACAGAAAGGGUGAUGGGUGAACUGUCACACUGGUGCUGAGGCUGUGGGGGAGGCUGGCCCCUGCAGCUCCUGUUAGACCCCUAGCCCGGGAACAUCCAUGUGCUGCAGGUGCAGCCCUGAAAU
rnacentral:lncRNA from 1 species